GUGAAUCAUCGAAUUUUUGAACGCAAAUUGCACUCUCUUCGGAGAGUAUGCCUGUUUGAGGGUCAGUAUUAAUAAAAAUCGGUUUGUUGCUUCUUUGUGUCACUCCUGUGUUUGGGUCAUCUUAAUAUUCUUUAAUUUUUAAGAGGCUUAAAAUUGACUUUUUUUUCUCAUUUUAUAUGUUCUUAAGUUCGUUUUUUUCUUCUUCGGUCUUAAUGCUCACAAUCCUAGUCGCUGCUACCAUAC
rnacentral:misc_RNA from 1 species